AGUGAACGCUGGCGGCAGGCCUAAUACAUGCAAGUCGAACGGCAGCACAGCAGAGCUUGCUCUGUGGGUGGCGAGUGGGCGGACGGGUGAGGAAUACGUGGGAAUCUGCCCAGUCGUGGGGGAUAACGUAGGGAAACUUACGCUAAUACCGCAUGCGCCCUUCGGGGAAAGCCGGGGACCUUCGGGCCUGGCGCGAUUGGAUGAGCCCACGUCGGAUUAGCUAGUUGGCGGGGUAAAGGCCCACCAAGGCGACGAUCCGUAGCUGGUCUGAGAGGAUGAUCAGCCACACUGGAACUGAGACACGGUCCAGACUCCUACGGGAGGCAGCAGUAGGGAAUAUUGGACAAUGGGCGCAAGCCUGAUCCAGCCAUGCCGCGUGAGUGAAGAAGGCCCUCGGGUUGUAAAGCUCUUUUGUCCGGAAAGAAAAGCGCCGGGUUAAUACCCUGGUGUCCUGACGGUACCGGAAGAAUAAGCACCGGCUAACUCGUGCCAGCAGCCGCGGU
rnacentral:rRNA from 1 species